ACACAAGGAUCUAAUGUUGCUAAGAGGGACGAAGUUGGUGUUGGAAACCUCCUUUAUAAUCGAAAAAAGAACCGAGUUCUAAAGGACGGUGAAGUACCAUCACUAAAACCGGGAGAUAAGGCAUCUCCUUUUAGAUUAUGGACACUGUCUGGAAUAUUUGAAUAUCCCAAUAACCAGUUGAAUAACAAGUCUGUGAUAAUUCAUUACUUUGACCCUGUAAAUUCUGCUUUCUUGGAAUGUUUAUGGAAUUCGGACGAGGCGCUCAUUCCCAUAAUAAAAAGCGACCCAUAUACACAACAUCUUUUUAUUCCGAUGACAGAUAAUUUGCAAGCCUUAUAUGGAGCAAAAUGGAUGUUUAACAGGAUCAAUGUGUUGGCAAAAAGAGUCUUAAGGUCAGAGACUGAGGUAAAUGCCAAGAUGGAUCAGUUUCAUUUUUCAGUGCUAUCCUUGAGUAAACUUGGAAAUUGGUUACCCACUUUACUAAGAGAAUGGGAAUGUGUUGAUCAUAACUGUGGAUACAACCAAGUUUUAUUCCAAGCAGGCAAUACAGAAUACCCUAUUGUGCUGAAAAGACUAGAUGCUCACUAUGACUGGCUGCGUAGUCCUGUGUCUACAUUUGGAAACAAGACAAUUGCCAGUGGUGUUGACAAAUUCCGAUGGAUGCCAACCCAGUUCCACUGUAAAUGGCUCAGUUGCUUUGGUAAACAGUGGAGGCUGUUCUUAUUUCAAAAAGGUACAAACAAUGCAUGCAUCAGGAGCAUCAGCAGUAUUGAUCAUGCAGAAUCAAACUGAGACACCCCAAGACAUGAAUUGCCAGGAUAAUGAAUGCACAGUUCCUCUGUCCAUUCCUGCUUGUAUGAUAGAAAACUUUAAUUUUGAUGCCAAAUCACAUCUCAAUGUCACAUUCCAGAACACACCAUCCCCUAGCUUCUUUGCAGCAAUAGACCCACAAGGUGCACUACAAGAGGUUGGCUGGUUUCUUUAUCCAUCAAUGAGUUUUAUCAACUGGCAAACUCAGUGGUUUCAGUACAAAAGGAAUUUGACUCAGCAGCUACAGAAACCAGCUCAUAUAGUCUCUGUGUUUCAAGAACAAGUAAUGCAGGGCCAGACAGGAGUUGUUGUCAACAUUUCCACUGCAGAAUUAAAAGGUAAAGUACACACAAUCCCUUACAGUCAUGUCACAAAAUUAGGAAAUCAUAUGAUUUUCUUUUUUGUUUAAAUUUCAAAUGAAAUUGAUUUAAAAAUUCAAUUAAACAAUUGUAAACGCAUGAUUUAUAUAGAUUUUACUAAUAUUUUAUCACAGCCAAGAUCAAAUAAUAACUUGAUCGUUUUGAAUAACAUGUGCAGCACUACCAUUUCUAGAAUACAUGUGCCAGUAGGAACAAUGGGAUUUUUUUGUUGCUCUCAGUUUUCAUAGAUAAAGAUUAUUCUCAACAAUCCACCAAUGAAAAAGCAAAACUCUUUAAUUUAUGAAAAUAUAAAAACAAGGAUCAUAUUGUGAAAAUAUGUAGUUGUUUAUAAGUGCAUGUGUAAGCAUGUGGUUUUCUAGUGUGAAUGGCUGAUUGCAUUAGGGCAUGAAUUAUUCAUGAGAACAAGAAAAAUUUAGCAAGUUGGCUUACGGUCAGUAACUUUGUGUGAGACUGCAUGGCCAUUAAUUGGUAUCCGCUGAUUGGUAAAGGUGUUGGAAUAACUUUAUGGAAAAUAAUUCCUUUAUUUCCUGUCUCCCCAGGCUUCCAACAUUUAGAGCUGGACAUGUCACUGUCCUGUCCUGGAGAAAGGGACACAACUUGUGGCCACUGGGAUCAUGGGAUCAGCCUGUUUGUUUGCUGUAAUCCCAACUCUACCCUCUGUGGAAUGGAGAUAGGAAGAUGGAUUAGUCCAUUUAGAAGGAGGGUAGGCCGUUGGAUUACUGACAUUUCUCCUCUGUUGCCCAUGAUUCAGAACAACCAGUCAGAUACCUGUUCAUUCACGAUGAAGACAGCACCCUGGGCAAUGCCAUGGAUACCAUCUUUAAACCUUAGACUGUACAAAACAAGUGAGAGUACAGCUCCAUCAGAAACUUUUGUUUUAUACCAGCCUGGUGCAACAUUUGACAAGCACUAUAACUCACAUUUCAAGCCAUUCAAUUUCAUUCCUCCUGCCGAUGUUAAAAAGGUUGUGAUUUUUGCUGUGAUAACUGGCCAUGGAAGUGAUGAGAACGGCUGUGGAGAAUUCUGUGUAACUUCGCAUCACUUCUCUGUUAACGGACACAUCAACAAUAUCACAUUCAGUGAAGCAGGAACUCCUUUGGGGUGUGCUAACCAGGUCUUAACUGGUGUAGAGCCAAAUGAACAUGGAACCUGGCUGUAUGGCAGGAAUGGUUGGUGCGACGGUAGAAAUGUGUUUCCCUGGGUGAUUGACAUAACGCAGCAAGUUUCUCUGAACAAGCAUAAUCAGAUUACGUACUUUGGAUGGUUUAAUGGGAUGGAUCCAAAUCCAAAGCAAAAUCCAGGAAUGAUUUCCAUAUACUCAUACCUUGUAUACUACCGAACAUAGCUUCCCUUUGAAACAUUGCAAAUUUAUGAAUUUUUGCUACAUUUUUCUAGGAGUACUGUCAUUUGUAAUUAUGUUCAUAAUUAAGUAAGAGGAAAAUUUUAAGUUAAGACUAUUUUUUUUACCCAAACAUGAUUUGACCAAGUUAAUUUUGCAUAUUUAUACCGACCUCUUUUCCAAAGAGUUACCUUCAUUAAGAUGUAAAUUUACUUGCCCUCUGGUUGGGGAAUUGUGUCAUAGUUACACAUACUGUAUUUAAUAUGUACAUGCAUUUGUAAUAUGCAUUUAUACAUUUCUAGCGACUAUUGAUAUUGGUUUGUAAAGAGCUUUCAAUACUGAAUGAUAAAUUUUAUCAAGACAUUUUCCUUCUUUCCUUGUUACAGGUUCUGAGGUUACCAGUAUUUGUCAUAAAUAGUUAACUGUUAAUUUAAUACAUAUACAUUCAUCAUUGAUUCAUUAAUCCUUAUAUAAUCAUUGUAUUGAUAAUGUUGCCUGCUUGUUUUAUUUUUUUUUUCUAAAAUAAACCAUAACUGUGUAAAUGUGAUAAAAUCUUAAUCAAUGUUAUAUAAUGAAUGCAAAAUUUUAUUAAAAGAAUUGUGUU
rnacentral:misc_RNA from 1 species